CUGUGGAUGGAUGAAGUGUUAUGGUGCAUUUCAGAUUUCAGUCAAUAAUGGAUAUGUUUUUUAUUUUAUUAAAUCAUUGGUCAGUUUCUAUUUCUUUUUGUGAUAUGAUAAUAUCCGUUUAAAAUUAAUUAAACGUGUGAUGGUGUGGUGAAUAUGGAUACAGUAUUUAUUGAUACUACUUAAAUUUUAUUGAAGUAAUGACAUUAAAGAAAAGUACAAAAAUGUCAACAAAAUCACAUAUAACUACAGAAUUAAGCGACAGCAUAAGUAAUGUUUUGGGAAAAAAUGUAAAAAUACUCUAUAAAUCUUUAAUUCGUAUGGAAUCGAGAGGCGACAAGGUGGAUAACAGGGUCCUUGUUGUGAGUGCAUUUAGGAUUUUUAUAACAACAACAAAAGUUCCAACAAGGGUUGACAAUGGAUUUCACUUGAUGGAAAUAGAGGCACUGGAGAGUAAAAAAGCUAAUCACCUAUCAAUUACGUUAAUUCAUGAACAUAAGCCUGUCUCAAUUCUCAUUGGCGAGGAGGGAUCACCAGAUGGGGUAAUUAAUGCUAUUCACGCUUUAGCCGCGGCGUUUGAUGAUCUUUUUCCCAACGUUGCUAUGGAGGACAUUAUAUCCAAGGUCAAUUUACCUUUUCAAAUACAACCGGUCAGCGGUACGCGAAAACAUUCCACUUGUGGAGAUUUUUCUAAUCAGUAUGCUGCUAUGUGUGACUUAUGUCAAACUCCUUUUAGGGCGGAGGUGGCGUGGGACAUCGAUACGAUAUAUUUGGCUCAUGAUAUUAGAAUGUUGCAUUUGAAGGACUUCGAUCAUUUGGAUCAAAGGGACUUGAUACCGUUGCUGAUCGCGCUGCAACACAACACGUGGUUCGAGGGCGUGUGCGGGGACGGCGUGCGCGUGGGGGGCGAGGCGUGGGAGGCGUUGUCGCGCGUGGUGCGCUGCGCCGCCCCGCCCCCGCAGCGGCUCAGCUGGCGCGCCGCCGCACUGCGACACGACCACGCCGCCAGGCUCGGACACGCACUCGCGCGUGCCCGCACACCCCCCGCCAUGCACACCAUUGACUUCUCACAGAACCAUAUUGAAGAUAAAGGUGCAAUAAGCAUUUUAACUGGUCUGGCGAACAACCCGGACGGGCUGCGUCACAUCGCGUUGUCUCAGUGCGGCCUCACUGGCAAAACGGUGUCGCACCUCGCCGCCAUAUUGAACGACAGUGCCUGCCAUCUCUCCACAUUGUCACAUCUAGAUCUCUCUAAUAAUAACCUAAAAGAUGAUGUACAUAAUCUGUAUAAUUUUUUAGCACAACCGAACGUGUUGACGCAUUUAAAUUUGACUAACACGGAGACGACGCUUGAAAAUAUGUGGGGAGCGCUGCUGCGCGGGUGCGCGGCGCGGCUGUCCUCCCUGCUGGUGGGACGCAACCCGUGGUCCACGGCGCGUCGCCCGCGGGACCCCCCACCUUCCUUCAGACAGUUCUUCACCGCCUGCCUCGCACUCGCCGACCUCGACUUCUCCUACUGCAAGAUGCCGCCUGAUGUGCUCAAGAGCCUGCUGCUGGGUCUGGCGUGCAACGAGAGCGCGGCGGGCGUGAAGCUGUGCCUGUCGGGCGUGCUGGCCUCCGCGCAGGCCGCGCACGUGCUCGAGUCCUGCAUACACGGCGUGCGUUGUCUGCAGACCCUCGACCUCUCCGAUAACAGUAUGGAAUACGAAUUAUCGGGCAUCGUUCGCGCUAUUGGAAAGAAUCAUUCGAUUACACAUUUAUCGUUAAGCAGAUUGACUGGGAAAAGGUCAUAUGCCCCGCCUUUAAUACAAGCUUUGGUACACGUUCUUCAAGAACCAGAUACUGCGUUGACUUCAUUAGAUUUGAGUGACUGUAAACUAAAGGGUGACUUGUACGGCUUGCUGAACGCGCUGGGCGGAGCGCGGCGGCUGCGCUCGCUGGACGUGGGCGGCAACGUGGCGGGCGACGCGGGCGCGCGCCUGCUCGCCAAGGCGCUGCAGUGCAACUGCACCCUGCACACGUUGCACAUCGACCGUAACGCAUUCAGUUUGCAAGGUUUGACGGACAUAGCGACUGCUCUGCGGCGGUCGGUGAGCGUGCGACGCGUUGACUUCCCCGGCUGCGAUGCGGCGGCGGGAGGCCGUGGUGCUAGCGAACGAGUCGCCACUUUAUGGCGGGACCUGCACGAACGUUUGUCAAGCAACAGCACAUCGGCGCAGUGCUACAGGCUGCGCGCGCUGGCGUUGGAGCGGGCGUGGGCUGGUGGUGAGGCGGCGGCUGCGCUCGCGGCGCAAGCGGCUGCAGCACUGCCUCCCGCUCCCCUUCCUGCCGCUCUCGAGCGCGCUGCUGCCGCUGCGCAUCAUCUGCUGCAUCAGUAUUUGCAGCGUUGCAGCGAGGUGUUCGCGGCGAUGGGCGGGGCUGGUGCGGGCGCGGCGGGCGAGCUGGUGACGUUGCAAGCGGUGCGCGACGCUAUGGCACCCUGCAACACCACGCUGCAGGAUUUGCUCAAUGAGGCGGUAGAGAGUUUAGCGCUAUCAGCUUGUGAGAGUGUGGACAAUGUGGACACGGAUCCCACGCCCAGCUCCGAGGCUGACAUUCCGGACCUGCUCACACCUAUCUCACAUUCUGGGGCGACGCCGUUGGGUAUCCGUCGUCGUGAGCGCGUACGUCGCGUGCGACCCAAGUCUGUGGCGGAGCAGCAGUGCAGCAGCAACGAGAUGCUGUCACUGCCGCCGCUGCAUGCGGAGGCUGCGGACGCUCUCGCAGACCUGCCUGCACACACGCUCAGGCAUCUCGUUAAAGGUCGUCCCCGUAGAGCUAAAACUCGAGCUCCCUCUCGACCAAUCACCGAUCAGUCACAGGACAUUGAUGAAGGUCUGGAGGAGUUUUGGCGCACGUGCCGCACGCCGCCGGGCAGCGAGGAGGCGUCGCUGUCUGCGCGCACGCCGCUCACCUCACGCUCCCUGCACUCCCUCUCCUCGCUCGCCUCGCCCUCCCCCGCCUCACCCUCGCCGCACCCCGCCUCGCCCUCACCCUCCCCCUCGCGCGCACGUCACUCCCCCACGCUGCAGAGAGACGACACCAUGUAUAGUGUGACGUCAGGGGAAAGUACUCCGGUAUUAUUGGAAUGUGAAGUAUCUCGAUGCAAGUCGUCUGACAACGUGGGCACGCGCGCGCCCGCUACGCCGCCACCUUCGCGUUCUUCCGACAAUGUCAACACCAUGGGCAACGGAUGCGUGCGCGGCGCGGGCAAGGCGCGGCCGUGGUCCGUGGCCGGCGUCAAUGCAGACCCCGCCGCAGCCGCUUGCACCACAGAGGGCGUGGAGGCGUGCGUGGGCGGCAGCAUCGUCGGCAUCACCCCCGGCGCCGCACUAACCAGUAAUCAACUUUCUGACGCUAUUCUGUACUGACUGCGCUCUGUAUGUGCCGUGCCGUGCCGCCCGCCUGCAAUACGGCUCAAUGUUACGAGAUCAUCCAUUAACACCAGAAGGCGCGGAUACGUAGACGAAGGACAAAUGGAGACAUCCAAGUGAUAAGAUGAGCAGGGUUUUAUGUCCAAGUGUAAACGGUUGUUAUGUGGAAUGUAUUCACCGAAGCUCACAAUUGUGCCAGUUAGAAUUGUAGAAGAUUUAGACUAGUUGUUGGCGUACAGAACUAAGAGAACUUUUACCAGGACUGAAUCUAAAGUAUAACCAGGGGUGACCGGACCGAUUCAUCGGUAACAAGAGGCGCAGAAUAGCAGCCCUAAACAAGGAUUCAUUUUCUUUUAUCGUCGUCCCAAAAAAAA